rnacentral:snRNA from 1 species
GUGCUCGCUUCCGCAGCACAUACACUAAAAUUGGAAUGAUACAGAGAUUAGCAUGGCCCCUGCACAAGGCUGACAUGCAAAUUCGUGAAGCGUUUCAUAUUAAA